CCUACGGGUGGCAGCAGUGAGGAAUAUUGGUCAAUGGGCGGGAGCCUGAACCAGCCAAGUCGCGUGAGGGAAGACGGUCCUACGGAUUGUAAACCUCUUUUGCCGGGGAACAACGGGGUCCUUGCGAGGGCCCACUGAGAGUACCCGGAGAAAAAGCAUCGGCUAACUCCGUGCCAGCAGCCGCGGUAAUACGGAGGAUGCGAGCGUUAUCCGGUUUUAUUGGGUUAAAAGGGUGCGCAGGCGGAAGAUCAAGUCAGCGGUAAAAUUGAGAGGCUCAACCUCUUCGAGCCGUUGAAACUGGUGGUCUUGAGUGAGCGAGAAGUAUGCGGAAUGCGUGGUGUAGCGGUGAAAUGCAUAGAUAUCACGCAGAACUCCGAUUGCGAAGGCAGCAUACCGGCGCUCAACUGACGCUCAUGCACGAAAGUGUGGGUAUCGAACAGGAUUAGAUACCCCUGUAGUC
rnacentral:rRNA from 1 species